AUUGAACGCUGGCGGCAUGCUUUACACAUGCAAGUCGAACGGCAGCACGGGGGCAACCCUGGUGGCGAGUGGCGAACGGGCGAGUAAUACAUCGGAACGUGCCCAGUCGUGGGGGAUAACGUAGCGAAAGCUACGCUAAUACCGCAUACGAACUCUGGUUGAAAGCGGGGGAUCGCAAGACCUCGCGCGAUCGGAGCGGCCGAUGGCAGAUUAGGUAGUUGGCGGGGUAAAGGCUCACCAAGCCGACGAUCUGUAGCUGGUCUGAGAGGACGACCAGCCACACUGGGACUGAGACACGGCCCAGACUCCUACGGGAGGCAGCAGUGGGGAAUUUUGGACAAUGGGCGCAAGCCUGAUCCAGCCAUUCCGCGUGCAGGAUGAAGGCCCUCGGGUUGUAAACUGCUUUUGUACGGAACGAAAAGGCUUUCUCUAAUACAGAGAGCUCAUGACGGUACCCACAGAAGAAGCCCCGGCUAACUUCGUGCCAGCCGCCGCCGUAAAAC
rnacentral:rRNA from 1 species